GAUCGCGGUUAUGAGCGCAUCGAAGACAAACUGCGCGCGCUAGGCGCACCGGGGGAACUGAAACAUCUAAGUACCCCGAGGAAAAGAAAUCAACCGAGAUUCCCCCAGUAGCGGCGAGCGAACGGGGAGGAGCCCAGAGCCUGAAUCAGCAUGUGUGUUAGUGGAAGCGUCUGG
rnacentral:rRNA from 1 species